rnacentral:lncRNA from 1 species
AUAUGGAGGUUCCCAGGUUAGCGGUCCAAUCAGAGCUGUAGCCGCUGGCCUACACCACAGUCACAGCAACACAGGAUCCUUAACCCACUGAUCUAGGCCAGGGAUCAAACCACAACCUCAUGGUUACUAGUCGGAUUUGUUUCCACUGAACCACAGUGGGAACUCCUGAGAUUUAUUCCUUAUUGAAAUAUUUUUAUCUGAAGUGGGGAAUAAAUAUCUAAAUUUUGGCUUGAUCUCUUGAGUGGAAAACCUCUAGUUUGCAUGGAAACUUCUAGUUUCUAUGAGGCCCAUUCUUUUCAGAGCUGCUCAGUCAAAAGUUACAUUCAAGCAGACACAUAGGCAGUUAUAAUGCAGAACAUGAGCUGUGAUAAGGGCCCUAUUUAUAGACCUUUGCUAUUAAGUAGAGUCUACACCUCCAGCUGGGCUGUAAACCCCAACAAGGCAAGGAUCAUUGGUAGCUUAGUAUCAGCACUACUGAGUGCCUGACACAAAGUAAGAAUUUAGUAGAUAGAUUGUAUCCAUUUAUUCAAAAAUAUGCUUAAGUCUUAUCUACCCCCAAAUGCUCACCUUCUAGUGAAUUCUAUGACAAAAAUUUUAAGAAAUUUUAGCCAUUUAAAACAAUUUAAAAUCUCUUUUUUCCCAUCUUUUAGGCUUAGCACUUUUAAAAAUAUCCAAAUUGACAUAAAUCUCUACCAUAAAAUAAUAUAUACAUGUGUGCAGUUUUUUGAGUAGGAAAUUCUCAGGUAGUUGCAUGAAAUAUUACCAUCAUCAGCACUACCCCUGCCUUUUCCAGCGUAUCUGUCUGUUUUUUUGUUUUGUUUAAUUGAGGAGAGGAGGGUCUCUUAGAUGUCUGCUCUGCAUGUACCAAGUUUUUGGAUAAAGCUAGAGGAAAACUUUUGGUUCAGUCCUUGCACUCUGCGUCCAACGGUCGUCUGUCAGAUUUGCUACCUGAGGCUAAUAACAGAAUUUGAUUUCUCCACUUCUCAUUUGAUGGGGAAGAAGAGUAGGUAUAGUAAUUGUUCUUUGCUGGUCUAAUCACGCAUAUCUGCAAAAUCCUCCCUGGGGGUGGACAUAAAGGCCAGCAGGUGGUAGAGGUGUGGUCAUUAUUAUCUAUUCUUUUCCUCAAUUCAUUGGUCAAAUUUCCUUCAUGAUCUCAGGGAGAGCCUCAUGAAAGUUUUUUUGCCUUCCUUUAUCCAAACUUCUAUGUUUUACAUCCUUAUACUGUAGACCUAUUAAUACAGUUCAACAAAAUUCUCUUUUUUUUAACCAGAUGAAGACAAAAACAAAAAACAGGAUUAGGCAAGAAAAAAAGUUAAUUUUAGCAUCGAUAGAAACAGAAAGGAAACUUACUCUAACAGUUCCCAUUAUCUUCUCCACUCCAUUAAUAUUCCUCUUGAGUAUAAAAGAUACCAUUUUGCUUUCUCUCUUGAGUAUAAAAGAUGCCAUUUUGUUUUCUCUCUCAAAUUUCCCAUGCAGAACUCUGUACAUAGUAACAGCAAGAGCAUGUCUGAAACUGAAAUCCUGUAGAAUAAAUAAAAGCAGUUGAAACAAUCUGAAUGGCCUUUUGUGAGAAGACAACUUAGGUAAUAAUUAUUUACCAUGGCAGAGCAGCAGCAAUGAAGCUAGGCUUUUUUUCUGAGGUUUAAGCCUGGAAGUCAACUUUCAGCAGGUCUCUCAAUAUUCACAUUUGUCCCUACCAAAAGCUGCAAACAUUAGAAGUAAGAACAGUUCUUGGCACAUUUUUUUAAAACAAGAUCCACUAAUUUUUACAAGUGAGGACUCCGAGGCCCCUAGAAGUUGAGAUUUUAUGCCCUGGUCUAGCCAUUGGAUUAUCAUUCUCCAGUUUCCCUUUCUGCCGUUUCUCUGUGAUCCCCUAUUCCAUCAACACCAACAUCAAUUUUUAUGUACUAGAAGUUGAAGAGACCCAAAUCUACUUUUAAUGAGCCCAUGCCCUUCUCUAGGCUUUAGAUUCAUCUAACUGCCUGCUGGUCAAGUUCUAAAUGAUGUUCCACAUCUUGAGUUGUAAGUAUCCAACCUCUUUCAACACACAAACUUGUCAUUGUGAUCUGGUUCACGAUGUGCCCUUUAUGCUCAAACUUAUAUUGUAAACAACCCCAAGAGAGAUGUGCCUCUUACUAUGCUUGAAGCUAUCCUAAUAGUCAAUAAAAUGUGUACAUAUACAUGUACUCUGCAAAUACUUUGGAAAUAGGAUGGAUUAAAUUAUAAGUUAAUUAUAACUUAUUGGUGCCAUCAAGGCCCUCUGAUAAUAAUUAUGCAAAAUACCUAAUAUUUAAUGAGAGGCACUGUAAAUUAUUGGUUGAGAUGUACUCACUGAAGUUAGAUUGAAAAUGUUUGAAACUUGGGACCUGCCACUUUCAAGCCCUAUAACCUUGAGCAAAAUAGUAAACCUCUUUGUGCUUCUGUUUCCUUGUCUAUUAAAUAGGGGUAAUAAAAGUAACUUCCUCAUAAUAAGAAAUAAUAUUACAACAAGCAAUGAUAAUACUACUUUCACCAUUAAUAUUAAUAAUAUAUUAUCAAUUAUUAGAUUAUAAAAUUACAUUAUUAUUAACCUAUUAAUAUUAGCAGUAUUACUCAUAAUAAGCAAUGUUACAAUAUUAUCAAUAAUAUUAGUAAUAAUAUUACAGUAAGCAAUAAUAAUACAACAAGCAAGUGAUUAUUUGGAAAAUACUCAAGUGCUUUCUACGUAAGUGCUAUAGAAAGACUAUUAUUAUUUAAUUCUCACAGUAAUUUUUUUUUUUUUUUCUUUUUAGGGCCGCACCCAUGGCAUGUGGAAGUUCCCAGGCUAGGGGUCAAAUCAGAGCUACCGCUGUCAGCCUUUGCCCCAGCCACCCAGGAUCUGAGCUGCAUUUGCAACCUACACCACAUUCACUGCAGCACCGGAUCCCCAUCCACUGAGCAAGGCCUCAUCUUCACAGAUGUUUGUCAGAUUUGUUUCCUCUGAGCCACAAGGGGAACACCCUCUCACAGUAAUUUUUAAAUGGACCGUGUUACCCACAUUCAUAUAAGAAUACGUAAACAGACUUAAAGAGAUUAAGAAACUGGCCUAUGGUCUUGAAGCUAGUUAAUGAAAAUGCUAUAUAUAAUUAUCCUCUCCCACCCCAAAUCUAGUCCUAUUAUUUCCUCUCCAUUCUUUCAUCUUGCUCCUCUGAGCCUAAAACCUAGAACUCAUUCUUGAUUUGCACCCCCUCUAUGAAGGUAAUUACUCACCAAGGUGUAGCUUUUCAUGCUACCUUCUAAACGUCUCCUCUUCUCAAAAUAUCUCUGAAAUCUUUCCCAACUUCUUCUUCGACCACUGCAUCAAUUUAAAGACCAUUAAAAUUAUACGGACUUCUGAAUUAGACCAUAUAAUAUUCUGCCUCGAUUAUUUCAAAAAACUUUCUCUUGCCUUCCCUUUAAUCUGCUCUCCAUGUUAUAUCAGAGCCAUCUUGCCAAAUCCAAAUUUUAUCAUGCACUCCUUCCCUAAAGCCCCUGAGUAGCUCUAUAUUGCUUUCAAGAGAAAUUCCUAGGAAUUGCUUUCAAGAGAAAUUCCUGGGUAUUCAGGCACAACCUUCAGUCUUGCAUAUUAGGAAUUAUAUGAGGGCUUUGUGAUAUUAUUUGUACCCACAUACUGAGUGUCCCUUUUUGUCUUUCCAAACUCAUAUACUAUACCAAAACCUUACCAAAUUAUUUUUCCCCAGUUGUCCAUUUUCUUAUGCAUCUAUAUUUUGGGGGAAUGCCUUCAAUCCCUUUGUUCUAGUCCACCUUCUUCACCUGGUCCUGUGUUCUAUAUCAGUUAAGCCAUCACUUCCUCUACCAGCUAUCCUUUCAUGUCUUUCCAUGACCCACCAUUCUUCUCCCCACCUGGGUAUAAGUUUCAUAAUGUAUUAUAAUUGUCCAUUUACAAAUCUGUCUUCCUAGCUCAUACUGAAAACUGCUUGAGGCAAAAUAGCAGGUUUUUGUUCUGUUGAUUCUCUCAUUUUAUCCCAAUUAAAAUUUCACAUUAGGAGUGCCUAAGGAAUUUAUUGUACUCCUCUUGCAAGUGCUACAGCUUAAUGCAACAUCUGCCAGUGUCAUUGGAGGGAUAAAAGCAUAAGCAAAUGAAAAA